UACGUAGGGUGCAAGCGUUGCCCGGAAUUAUUGGGCGUAAAGAGCUCGUAGGCGGCUUAGUAAGUCGGCGGUGAAAUACCGAGGCUCAACCUCGGCACUGCCGUCGAUACUGCUAUGGCUAGAGUCUGGUAGAGGAGAACGGAAUUCCCGGUGUAGCGGUGGAAUGCGCAGAUAUCAGGAGGAACACCGAUGGCGAAGGCAGGUCUCUGGGCAUUAACUGACGCUGAGGAGCGAAAGCAUGGGGAGCGAACAGG
rnacentral:rRNA from 1 species